CAUGUGCUCGGCUGAGUGACAGAGGAAGUGCUUCCUUGCACCAGGAUGUGACCCCACCUGCCUGCAGAGAGGUUACGCAGAUGCGCCACCUGCUGGUUGGAGGUCAGACCGUUGGGUUUCAAAGAA